rnacentral:rRNA from 1 species
AAAAAUGUAGCUAUUAAAACUAAUUGAUUAAAAGUUAUGUUCUUUAAAAUUAAAUAUUUUGGCGGUAUUUUAGUCUUUUCAGAGGAACCUGUUCUUUAAUUGAUAUUCCMCGAUUGAAUUUACUUUUUUUAGAAAUUUUUAUAUCUUCGUUAUUAAAUAUUUUAUAAGAAUUUAAAUAUUUAAAAGAUUUAAUAAAAUUUUAAUUCAGAUCAAGGUGAAGUAAAUAGAAAAGUAGAAAUGGGUUACAUUAAAAUUAUUUUUGGAUAAAAAAAUAUAUUUUUUUUUGAAAUUGGAUUUGAAAGUAAUUACUUAAUCUUUUUUGUAAUGAUUUAGCUCUAAAAUAUGU